GGCUCGGUGGCGGAGCGGCAACGCAGGGGUCGUGCAAGACCUAAUAGCCAGGUUCGAAUCCUGGCCGAGCCU
rnacentral:tRNA from 1 species